rnacentral:rRNA from 1 species
GGAGCAUGUGGUUUAAUUCGAUGCAACGCGAAGAACCUUACCUACUCUUGACAUCCAGAGAACUUUCCAGAGAUGGAUUGGUGCCUUCGGGAACUCUGAGACAGGUGCUGCAUGGCUGUCGUCAGCUCGUGUUGUGAAAUGUUGGGUUAAGUCCCGCAACGAGCGCAACCCUUAUCCUUGUUUGCCAGCGAGUAAUGUCGGGAACUCCAGGGAGACUGCCGGUGAUAAACCGGAGGAAGG